CCUGCCCAGUGAACUUUUUUAACGGCCGCGGUAUCCUAACCGUGCAAAGGUAGCGCAAUCACUUGUCCCCUAAAUAGGGACUAGUAUGAAUGGUUAAAUGAGGACUAACCUGUCUCCUGUGAACCAUCAGUAAAACUGAACCUCCAGUACAAAUGCUGGAAUAAUUAUAUAAGACGAGAAGACCCUGUGGAGCUUAAAAACAAACUACGAACCCUCAUCGUAAUAAACGUUUUUAGUUGGGGCAACUUUGGAAACAAAAAUAACUUCCAAACACAUGGUCAAAUCCCAUAAACCGGCUAACAAGCCUAAACAAUAGACCCGGUCAUAAAACAUAACCGAUUAAUGAACCAAGUUACCCCAGGGAUAACAGCGCCAUUUUCUUUUAGAGUUCAUAUCAACAAGAAGGUUUACGACCUCGAUGUUGGAUCAGGACACCCAAAUGGUGCAGCCGCUAUUAAUGGUUCGUUUGUUCAACGAUUAACAGUCCUACGUGAU
rnacentral:rRNA from 1 species